rnacentral:rRNA from 1 species
UACCCCAAACCAACACAGGUGGACAGGUAGAGCAUACCAAGGCGAGUGGGAUAACUAUGGUUAAGGAACUCGGCAAAUUGCCUCCGUAACUUCGGGAGAAGGAGGACCCCAGUAGCGUGAUGAGACUUGCUCUCUGAGCGUGAAGGGGUGGCACAAAAUUGAGGGAAGCGACUGUUUACCAAAAACACAGCAGCGUGCUAAGCCGUAAGGCGCUGUAUACGCUGUGACUCCUGCCCGGUGCUGGAAGGUUACGGGGAUGGGUUAGUCCUUCGGGACGAAGCUCUGAACCUAAGCCCCAGUAAACGGCGGCCGUAACUAUAACGGUCCUAAGGUAGCGAAAUUCCUUGUCGGGUAAGUUCCGACCUGCACGAAUGGAGUAACGACUUCCCUACUGUCUCAACCAUAGACCCAGUGAAAUUGAAGUACGAGUAAAGAUGCUCGUUAGCUGCAGAAGGACGGAAAGACCCCGUGGACCUUUACUAUAACUUGAUGUUGUGUUUUGUCAUAUGUUGUGUAGGAUAGGUGGGAGACUUGGAAGCAUGGACGCUAGUCUGUGUGGAGUCAUCGUUGAAAUACCACCCUGCAUAUGGUGAGGCUCUAACCUAGACCCGUUAUCCGGGUUGGGGACAGCGUCAGGCGGGUAGUUUAACUGGGGCGGUUGCCUCCUAAAGAGUAACGGAGGCGCCCAAAGGUUCCCUCAGCCUGGUUGGCAAUCAGGCGUUGAGUGCAAUGGCAAAAGGGAGCUUGACUGCGAGACCUACAAGUCGAGCAGGAGCGAAAGCUGGGCAUAGUGAUCCGGCGGUUGCGUGUGGAAGCGCCGUCGCUCAACGGAUAAAAGGUACCCCGGGGAUAACAGGCUAAUCUUGCCCAAGCGUCCAUAGCGACGGCAAGGUUUGGCACCUCGAUGUCGGCUCAUCGCAUCCUGGGGCUGAAGCAGGUCCCAAGGGUUGGGCUGUUCGCCCAUUAAAGCGGUACGCGAGCUGGGUUCAGAACGUCGUGAGACAGUUCGGUCCCUAUCCUCUGCAGCCGGAGGUGAAUUGAGGAAAGCUGUCCCUAGUACGAGAGGACCGGGACGGACGCAGCUCUCGUGUGCCAGUUGUCCUGCCAAGGGCAUGGCUGGUUAGCGACCUGCGGAAAGGAUAACCGCUGAAAGCAUCUAAGCGGGAAGCCUCUUCCAAGAUGAAUUCACCCACAGGGUUAACCUGGUAAGGCCCGUGGUAGACCACCACGUUGAUAGGCCGGAAGUGUAAGCGUGGCAACACGUUCAGCUGACCGGUACUAAUCGGCCGAGGGCUUGAGUUC